rnacentral:lncRNA from 1 species
AGGGUGCACCUUACUUUAAGUAGGGCUAAAGGAAGGAGACUUACUUAAUUUACACUAUUUUUUUAAGAUUAAUUUUGUAGGAGUGUUUUUUAGGGUGUAGUUCAUGCUUCCUACUUGCCUGAAGCUUUGGGGUUGAUAGGCACAAUGGAGCUUCUGUUGAAUGUUUAAUGCCUUACUGACUGACUGAGCUAUAGGCGAGGUGAAGGCUGCUCUAUUAUCAGACUUUAUGGCAGCAGACAGCCUAUAUUGAGGGAUGAUUUCAUUGAGUAAAAACUUAACUACUGUGUUGGUGGUUUCGUUUUUGGUAGAAAAUGCCUUAGUCUAUCUGGAGAAGGUGUCUACUAGUACUAGAAGGUAUUUGUACUUAGUCUGGUGUGGUUUUACUUCUGUAAAGUCAAUUUCUUUUUUCUUGGUGAGUUUUUUCAGAGACAGUGGCCUGGGCUGGGUUUAGGACUUUGUUUGGCAUUUAUGUGGGCGCAGGUUGUGCACUGGAGAGCUGCUUAAUCUGUUAGGCUUUGAAGAUGGGGGAUCUUAAAAUGGCUCCGGAGGAGCUGAGGUAGCUUUGCUCUUCUUAAAUGGGUGGUAGACUGUAGGUAACUGAUUAAAGUUUCUUUAAGAGUUCAGGGUAUGAAGAUUCCAGAGUCAGGAAGAAUCUACUAACUUUCCUGAUUUUUAUUGGCUCUGAGAUCUGAAGCCAGUUUUUUUGUUGUUGAGUAUACGGGAUUGUCAGGCAGAUCUGGCUGUGGAAAGGAGACUGUGGGCAGCAAGUUUAGAGGCGUGACUGAAAGUCUCGCUGCGACCUGAGCUGCUGAAUCAGCUUUCUGUUUACUGUGGGCAAUGGCUGUGUUUUCUUUUUGAUGUCCUUUGCAGUGGAUCACAGCUACCUGCUGAGACAGACAAGGGGAGUGGUUCCUGUGAUGGGAUCAGUCAGAUGCCUGCCUGGCCGCUCCCCCUGAGGGGACUUGGGCUCCUCUUAGCAUUGGCAGGCCGGUAUAAACUUCCGGCUCAGAUCGAGCUAUGCCUGAUGCUGCCUUAAGCCUUAUGAGGUCGCCAAGGAACCGCAGAAACUCCUGGAGGGCAGAGCUGUGUCUGCCAUCUUCAUCAUUGCAUUACCACCACCCAGCACAGUGCCUGGCACAAAAGAGUUGCUCAAUAAAUAAAUCCGGAUGAAUGGAUAAAUACAUGGAUAGGCACUUUGAACUACAGAUGAGUUUAAAUACUUUGUGUUUUUCUUAGUCAAACAUGUGCAAUUAAGCAUGUGAUAAAUGAUAUGAUGACCACA